GACGUAGGGCGCGAGCGUUGUCCGGAUUUAUUGGGCGUAAAGAGCUCGUAGGCGGCUUGUUGCGUCGACUGUGAAAACCCGCGGCUUAACCGCGGGCUUGCAGUUGAUACGGGCAGGCUAGAGUUCGGUAGGGGAGACUGGAAUUCCUGGUGUAGCGGUGAAAUGCGCAGAUAUCAGGAGGAACACCGGUGGCGAAGGCGGGUCUCUGGGCCGAUACUGACGCUGAGGAGCGAAAGCGUGAGGAGCAAACAGG
rnacentral:rRNA from 1 species